CAUAAAUUUUGACCUCAAAUCAGGUAAGGAUACCCGCUGAACUUAAGCAUAUCAAUAAGCGGAGGAAAAGAAACCAACAGGGAUUGCCUUAGUAACGGCGAGUGAAGCGGCAAAAGCUCAAAUUUGAAAUCUAGUGCCUUUGGUACUCGAGUUGUAAUUUGAAGAAUUUUUCUCCGAACAGUCCUUUAUCUAUGUUCCUUGGAACAGGACGUCAUAGAGGGUGAGAAUCCCGUGUGAUUUUGGAUACUGUUCAUUGUGAGAUUUAUUCGAAGAGUCGAGUUGUUUGGGAAUGCAGCUCUAAGUGGGUGGUAAGUUCCAUCUAAAGCUAAAUAUUGGCGAGAGACCGAUAGCGAACAAGUACAGUGAUGGAAAGAUGAAAAGAACUCUGAAGAGAGGGUGAAAAAGUACGUGAAAUUGCUGAAAGGGAAGGGCUUUAGGUCAGACUUGGUGUUUAAUACUCAGUUCUCCUUGUGGGAGCUGCUCUUGUUUUUCACUGGGCCAAUAUCAGUUUUGGCGGUAGAGCACCUCUGGAAAUGUAGCUGCCUUCGGGUAGUGUUAUAGUCUGGGGACGAUCUACUGCUGGGACUGAGGUCUGCGCAUUUUGCUAGGAUAUUGGCAUAAUGACCUUAAGCCGCCCGUCUUGAAACACGGACCAAGGAGUCUAACGUCUAUGCGAGUGUUUGGGUGUAAAACCCGUACGCGAAAUGAAAGUGAACGUAGGUU
rnacentral:rRNA from 1 species